CCCUUAGAUGUUCUGGGCUGCACGCGCGCUACACUGAUGCGUUCAACGAGUGUAUCACCUUGCCCGAUAGGGUUGGGUAAUCUUUUGAACACGCAUCGUGAUAGGGAUAGACUAUUGCAAUUAUUGGUCUUCAACGAGGAAUUCCUAGUAGACGUAGUUCAUCAGACUGCAUCGAUUACGUCCCUGCCCUUUGUACACACCGCCCGUCGCUCCUACCGAUUGAAUGCUCAGGUGAGCCAUUCGGACUUUCAUCAUGCUGGUUUCCAGUUUUGAUGAAGGAAAGUCUUGCGUACCUUAUCAUUUAGAGGAAGGAGAAGUCGUAACA
rnacentral:rRNA from 1 species